rnacentral:rRNA from 1 species
AUUGAACGCUGGCGGCAUGCUUUACGCAUGCAAGUCGAACGGUAACAGGUCUUCGGAUGCUGACGAGUGGCGAACGGGUGAGUAAUGUAUCGGAACGUGCCCAGUAGUGGGGGAUAACUACUCGAAAGAGUAGCUAAUACCGCAUACGCCCUACGGGGAAAGGGGGGGAUCGCAAGACCUCUCACUAUUGGAGCGGCCGAUAUCGGAUUAGCUAGUUGGUGAGGUAAAGGCUCACCAAGGCGACGAUCCGUAGCUGGUUUGAGAGGACGACCAGCCACACUGGGACUGAGACACGGCCCAGACUCCUACGGGAGGCAGCAGUGGGGAAUUUUGGACAAUGGGGGAAACCCUGAUCCAGCCAUUCCGCGUGUGCGAUGAAGGCCUUCGGGUUGUAAAGCACUUUUGGCAGGAAGAAAUCGCAUCAAUUAAUACUUGGUGUGGAUGACGGUACCUGCAGAAUAAGCACCGGCUAACUACGUGCCA